rnacentral:rRNA from 1 species
GAGUUUGAUCCUGGCUCAGAACGAACGCUGGCGGCGUGCCUAACACAUGCAAGUCGAGCGCGAAAGUUCCUUCGGGGAUGAGUAGAGCGGCGGACGGGUGAGUAAUACAUAGGUAAUCUACCUUCGAGUUUGGGAUAACCCCGCGAAAGUGGGGCUAAUACCGGAUAAGACCACGUAACUUAUGUUACGGGGUAAAAGGUGGCUUGUUUUUUAAAUGAGCUAUCACUUGAUGAUGAGCCUAUGGCCUAUCAGCUUGUUGGCGGGGUAAGAGCCCACCAAGGCUAUGACGGGUAGCUGGUCUGAGAGGACGACCAGCCACACUGGGACUGAGACACGGCCCAGACUCCUACGGGAGGCAGCAGUGGGGAAUAUUGGGCAAUGGGCGAAAGCCUGACCCAGCGACGCCGCGUGGGUGAUGAAGGCCUUCGGGUUGUAAAGCCCUGUCAUGCGGAAAGAACGACCCUGUGACGCAUACUCACAGGGAGUGACGGUACCGCAGGAGGAAGCACCGGCUAACUCCGUGCCAGCAGCCGCGGUAAUACGGAGGGUGCAAGCGCUGUUCGGAAUUAUUGGGCGUAAAGGGCGCGUAGGCGGUAAUGUAAGUCAGAUGUGAAAUACUCCGGCUCAACCAGAGAACAGCAUCUGAAACUGCAUAACUAGAGUACAGAAGAGGGAAACGGAAUUCCCGGUGUAGAGGUGAAAUUCGUAGAUAUCGGGAGGAACACCAGUGGCGAAGGCGGUUUCCUGGUCUGAUACUGACGCUGAGGCGCGAAAGCGUGGGGAGCAAACAGGAUUAGAUACCCUGGUAGUCCACGCUGUAAACGGUGAACACUAG